GUUCCCCUCUCCCCCAGCUGCUUCAUUGCCCCGAGGCCCAGCGGCCGGGCUCACGAUCCCCCGGCCGGGCGGAGACGGAGGCUGAAGCCGGGGCGGGCAGAGACAGGCGGGGGAUUCGCCGCCGCUGCAGCUGCAUCACCGGGAGCACCAGGCAGAAGGGGCUGUAGUGGCAUUUAAACCGCCAGUGAUUAAUUCGGCCCGGGCUCUGGGGCGAGAGGCGAUGCUGCUGCUCCCAGCUGGGGAGGCUGUGACAAGUGAAGGUUUGUCUCCCAUGGAGCUAGCGCCCAGCCACAGCUCCGGUGCACACAGAUCACAAAGCGCUUUGCAAAGGAGGUCGGUAUCAUUAUCCCCAUUUUACAGUUGGGGGAAACUGAGGCAUGGAGAAGUAAAGUGACUUCCCCAAAGUUCCUGCUCUGCCUGGGAAAGAAGGAGGGACCCAUGAGGAGGCCAGGCUCAGCCUCUCGCUGCAGUCAGAAUCUCUCCGCUGAUCUAUAAUGCGGAUACCAAUAGCUACCACUGAAGUCAAUAAGAGUUGAUCUGGACCCACUCUGGGGUGUAUCUGGAUUUGUAUAGCCUUGGAGGGAAUGCCUGAACUGGAUUCCUAAACAGCCUGGAAUGGACUAUGAGAGGAGGAACUGGAUAAGAAUCUGAACUGGAUCCCUGUGUCCCUCUGGAAUGGCCUCUGGGUGCAGAACCCUGUUGAGAGGAGACUCAGAAGGGGAUUUCUGUGUCUCAUUGGCUGGAAUGGACUUUGGGUACAAGUCCCUUGGGUGCUUUUUCACCCCUUCUGCUCCUGUAAGUGUUUGUGCAGUUUCCUACCCCAUUCCCAUGCUACUUGUGUGCAGGCACAUACUAUAAUGCUGUCCAGUGAGGAUUAGAGCUGUUGUUAGAACCUUAGACCAGUGGUUCUCAAACGUUUUUUUCCACAGCCCACUUGAAAAUUGCUGAGGGUCUCGGCAGCCCACUUAAUGAUCUUUCCAAAUGUUGUUUGUACUGUUAGCUAACUACUGUAAAGCGCUUUGGAUAAAAGCGCUAUAUAAAAAAAAAUAACAUUUUUCGUUCUACAAAUAAAAGUAUACAACUCGUAUUUAAAUAUAUAUAUAUAUCAGUAGUCUUACCUUUCUAAUGUGAUGGAUGUGCCCUCUCUCCCCCGCCACAGUAGCCCCCGAGCUGAGGCUGGGAAGGAGGGGGGUGUCUCUCCCCGGC